CAUUCGCAGCAAAAAACAGCAAAAUAGCACAAAAAGGAGGAGCAAAAAUGGACAAAAAGACAAAAGAUCUUGUUGUUGAUCUUGUUGGCGGUAUUCAGCUUAAUUUGAUGGAUUAUGUUUCUGUUACUCACUCUAAGUUGGAGCAUUAUGCACUCAAAAA
rnacentral:ribozyme from 13 species